ACCACCUUCAGAUCGUCGGUCUGCCGAGCAAUAUCACCCGUUCGAUGGAAGUUCUUCUAUUCGUCGC
rnacentral:pre_miRNA from 1 species